rnacentral:misc_RNA from 1 species
GAAGCAAAGCGAUUGGUACUCGGAGCUGUGACACGUCAGAAAUCUGUUUAGGUUACACAAAUUGUGAUCUCAAAAUGCCGGUUGAUCCGGUCGCAAAUGCUCCAUCGACUAGUAUAAUCGCUUAUAAUGGAGAUUCUCCAAGAGGAUGGAACGAUCCACCGACCUUCGCUUUUUCUGGUCAAAAAGGCGGUGGUUCUCGCCCUAAACUUGAUUUGAGAAAAAGGGUUUCUCAUCAUCAAGCUUUACAUGGAACCAAUACACCUCCUAAUCCUCCUACUACUCCAGCUACUUCAUCUUAUGCCACUGGGAGUGAAGUUUCAGAUAGAAUGGCCAGUUUAAGCCUCCAUUCUUCUUCACCCAUGAAUCCGCGCAAUACUUCACCACAUCCGCAUAGUACUACCCCUCCUCUGAAUUCUAAAACCAGCCAUACUCCGCACACUACUGCCCCCGCAGUACCACUUUACACUCCACCAACUACAGAACCAUACCAUAACCACAACAGAACUCAUAGUCUUCCAUCAAACUUUAUGCCAAGUCCUUCUCCAGUGCCUCCAGGAAUUCCACACAUAUCGUCUAGUUCUUCUUUGAGUACUGGUAUAGUACCUGACGUAGUUAAAAGUCCUAGUCCUGUGCCAGUCUUAGGUACUCCAACGCAUUUGGGACAACCACUUUUUCACUUAAAAGAUCAUUCUUUUGAACCAGUGAAGACUCAUAAUGAGUCUGGUGUACGUUCAACAGCUGAUUUAGGUGACCAUCUUGAUGAUCAUAUGAAUGGGAAUCAUCCUCCUCAGAUAUUCCAACCAACACCAUAUAAUGCUGUCAAUGGACAACCAGCAUGUACAAACACGAUACCACCUGUCCAGACACAUAUGACGCCAUCUCCAGGAUUAAUCACUGCCUCUUCGACAUGCCCUCCAGUUGGUCAUGUAUCUCCUAUUCCAACAACUACUCCUAUUAUGUCAACGCAGCCAGGGAUUACAAAUGCAAUACCCUUUUCUGGUGGAUUGGGUCAUGGAAUGUCGUCCCACCCUCCUCCAUCAAUAACGCCGCCAGCUCAUUUCACAAAUACUCACCCACAUGUUGGUCAUAUCACACCACCACUGCCAGUAUCAAACACUCUGCCCCCAUUCCCUGUCGCCCACAGAACACCAACUCCAACACCUUCAACCCAGUCAAUUCUAGCAGCUCCUGCUUCAGGUUCCUUAAGCACUGGAAGUACUCCAAGGUGUCUGUCACCUGAAGAGAAUGGUGUUGAUGAUGGUGUAAAUGAGAUGGGUGAUGAAGAAGGUCUCAAAGCUACUAUGGAUGCCCUUAAUGAUGUUGUUCAGAAGUGCCAUCUUAAGAAAGUGAUAACAUAGCAAAAAGACUCAAGGUCAUGUCAGAUAUGUGGAUGGAAGGAAAACUUGGAAAGACUGUGAAAAAGAAAAUGAUAAAGUUAGCCAAAGCCCUUGACGAUGGAAGAGGUGAAGAUGCCCACCACAUUCACGUCACUAUCAUAGUGGACCAUGUCACAGAG